GUCUUUUCCAGCCCAAACCAUUCAGGGGUUGUGGUUUUUCAAACUUUCCAGAGACGUGAAUGCAGUGAGUGACGAAAAAAGCAGAAUAACUGAGAGAAGAGCAGUACUCCUGUGAGGAAUGUAAUUCCAUUCAUUCUUCAAUCUUAACAGCUGAGAGGGACCUGCAUUCUACAGCUUUAUGGGUGCCUGUGCAUCCUGGCAAUCAGCAAGAGGGAAUGUGUGAGCCACAGCUGGGCUGUUCCUCAGCACAGGAGCUUGUCCCCAAGCCUGGGUGUUCAAAUACUUCAGUUCUGAAGAGCAGCUGUGAUGAAUAAAGAGGUGCAGAUGUCCUUAAAACAGCAGGAGUAUCAUGGGAAGAUGUGCUUGAAGAAAGACCCUGAAUCACAUUUGCCUCCCUUGAAACAAAUUACAAGUCCUAACAUUUGUCCUUAAUCCACUGGAGAAGCAAGUUCAGGCUGAGUGUUGAAAGGAAGAACUUUGGAAUAGUUGUGCUUGCACUCACA